UUAAUGUAGCAUAUCCUUUAAUUGAAGUAUUUUUUUCCUCUAGCGCUAUCUGUGUGGUUAAAGCUAUCAGUCUCUUAUGUGCUUUUUCUACAAUGCCUAUUUCUUUUAGCAGUGUCUGAAUUUUAUUUUCCCUUUCUUUCUUUAUACUAGAGCAUAGUGCAAUUUGUUGACCAAGUACUACACAGUUAUGGGCCUCCCACAGCAUCCCCGGAUUUGUCUCAGCUCCUCUUUCAAUAAAGCCGUCAUAUCCUGCAGCAUCUCCUUCAAUUCAAAGCGGGACGGCAGAUUCGCCAGCUGCUCAGUUUAUAUACAGCUGCUCAGUUUAUAUACAAACGGGACAGGCAAACAAAUUUUACAGAACCAUUAGAAGAAGAGGAGAAUGAAUAUGAAGAACCCGAUAUGUUAAAAGCAUCCGACUCAUCUCUAAGUGCUGUUGAUCAAGCCAGACUCUACUCCUGCCUUGACCAUAUGGAGAGAAGUCUUGGGAGAAUCAGUGAUGGAGCAAGUUAUGGUUGACUCCAUUUUGAAGUGCCAGUUUGAUGUAGCCAAUGCUCUGAACUUAGUAUUUAAACAAGACUGCAACAAAAACGUCAUACCAGCCAAUCAAAAAUUCAUUACAGGGAGGCCAACAAAAGGUAUUUUCUUAGUUUGUUUUUGUAGUUUACUAUAAUUGUAGCAGAAGGUUAAUCAAUGUAUUGCCAUAUUUAAAGAUCCUUGUCCACCUUGUCAUGUUUUCAUUGGGUUUGGGGAGUCUAUUAGCUAGCCAAGUUCUGAAAGUCAGAUUAUAUAACAUAGUCCAGAAUUGUGCACACCAGAUACACUGUACUGACCUGGGUGCUUGAGUCAGAAAUACAAAAAGAACAAAAUAUCAGCAUGAAAAACCAGAAAAGGAUUUAUUUGACUCAACAUUUUAGUCUCCCAUAGGUACCUUCCGCAGGAGAAGCAAAAUUAUGCAAACAUAAUAAAUGUCUCUGUGGGGAACCGAUCAUCAAGUCAAAUAAAUCCCUACUUUUUUAUGUAAAUCCUGUAAGUUUCUUUUUUUAUGUUGAAAAAAAAAUGUGUAAACAUAUAAAUGCAUAUAGUAUAGGGAUCAUAUGGUCCU